CCAAUAGCGUAUAUUAAAGUUGCUGCAGUUAAAAAGCUCGUAGUUGAAUUUCGGGACUAAUAUGUCGGUCGUGCCUCGGUACGUACUGGUAUUUUUGGUUUCUCCCUUCUGACGAACCUUGAUGUCAUUAAUUUGGUGUCUUGGGAAAUCAGGACUGUUACUUUGAAAAAAUUAGAGUGUUUAAAGCAGGCUCACGCUUGAAUACAUUAGCAUGGAAUAAUGAAAUAGGACGUUUGAUUCUAUUUUGUUGGUUUCUAGGAUCGACGUAAUGAUUAAUAGGGAUAGUUGGGGGAAUUAGUAUUCAAUUGUCAGAGGGGAAAUUCUUGGAUUUAUUGAAGACUAACUACUGCGAAAGCAUUUGACAAGGAUGUUUUCAUUAAUCAAGAACGAAAGUUAGGGGAUCGAAGACGAUCAGAUACCGUCGUAGUCUUAACCAUAAACUAUGCCGACUAGGGAUCGGAUGAUGUUAAUUUUUUAAUGACUCAUUCGGCGCCUUACG
rnacentral:rRNA from 1 species